GCCAGGUGUGGUAUGCACUCGUAGUCCCAGCUACUCAGGAGGCUGAGGCAGGAGGAUCACUUGAGCCCAGGAGUUCUGGGCUGUAGUGUGCUAUGCCAGCUGGGUGUCCGCACUAAGUUUGGCAUCAGUGUGGUGACCUCACAUGAGCAGGGGACCACCAGGUUGCAUAAGGGAGGGAUGAAUAGGCCCAGGUCAGAAAUGGAGCAGGUCAAAACUCCUGUGCUGAUCAGUAGUGGAAUCUUGCCUGUAAAUAGCCACUGCCCUCCAGCCUGGGCAACAUAGCAAGACCCCAUCUCU
rnacentral:SRP_RNA from 1 species